rnacentral:rRNA from 1 species
GACGAACGCUGGCGGCGUGCUUAACACAUGCAAGUCGAACGAAGAGCGACGGAAGCUUGCUUCUAUCAAUCUUAGUGGCGAACGGGUGAGUAACGCGUAAUCAACCUGCCCUUCAGAGGGGGACAACAGUUGGAAACGACUGCUAAUACCGCAUACGAUCUAACCUCGGCAUCGAGGAUAGAUGAAAGGUGGCCUCUACAUGUAAGCUAUCACUGAAGGAGGGGAUUGCGUCUGAUUAGCUAGUUGGAGGGGUAACGGCCCACCAAGGCGAUGAUCAGUAGCCGGUCUGAGAGGAUGAACGGCCACAUUGGGACUGAGACACGGCCCAGACUCCUACGGGAGGCAGCAGUGGGGAAUCUUCCGCAAUGGACGAAAGUCUGACGGAGCAACGCCGCGUGAGUGAUGACGGCCUUCGGGUUUUAAAGCUCUGUUAAUCGGGACGAAAGGCCUUCUUGCGAAUAGUGAGAAGGAUUGACGGUACCGGAAUAGAAAGCCACGGCUAACUACGUG